GAAGCUCAAAGUAUUUGUCUCGUCUUUCUCACACCACAACAUCACAUGUUGAGGGAAGAUCAUUCUCUACAUCACCCUCAGCCAACCAAGGUUGCACGGCGUUCUGAACGGCCACCUUCUCCUCUGUCUCCCUGUGUGUGCCUGACAGAUGAGAGGAGGGGAGCAGAUGAAAGAUGACACUGAUUAAAAUAAUUCGCCUCCCGUCAUGGAGCAGAACACGGCCGAAGAGGCCUCCCUUUCCCAGACUGUCGAUUCCUGGUCAAUUCCUCCUCCUCUGCGUUAAAAAUGAAAAGUAUCGAUCUCGUUUCGCCUCAAGCUGCUCCGCUGAUUGAACCCGAGGCGAUCCGUAUCAGAGGAGGAGUUCAUCCGAGGUGCAGGUGCUCCCAGUCCACAGCUUAAUCUCCCCCAGCGCACCUGGAAGACUUCCAGGUCUCAAACAGACGCUGCCUCUGUGUUUACAGCUCGGUGGAAACGAUAACAAACCCAGAUCACGGCGUUUAAAGCUGUAGAAUGUAACAUUUUAUUACGGAUAAUCUGUGAAAAGAUCAAUCUUCUUCUUCUCCCCGAGUUUUGUUGUCUGAAGAAACUGUUCCCGUCAAAA